AACGAACGCUGGCGGCAUGCCUAACACAUGCAAGUCGAACGAGACCUUCGGGUCUAGUGGCGCACGGGUGCGUAACGCGUGGGAACCUGCCCUUAGGUUCGGAAUAACUCCCCGAAAGGGGUGCUAAUACCGGAUAAUGUCUUCGGACCAAAGAUUUAUCGCCUUUGGAUGGGCCCGCGUUGGAUUAGCUAGUUGGUAGGGUAAAAGCCUACCAAGGCGACGAUCCAUAGCUGGUCUGAGAGGAUGAUCAGCCACACUGGGACUGAGACACGGCCCAGACUCGUACGGGAGGCAGCAGUGGGGAAUAUUGGAAAAGGGGCGAAAGCAUGAUACAGCAAUGCCGGGUGAGUGAUGAAGGCGUUAGGGUUGUAAAGCUCUGUUACACGGGAUGAUAAUGACAGUACCGGGAGAAUAAGCUCCGGCUAACUCCGUG
rnacentral:rRNA from 1 species